rnacentral:tRNA from 1 species
GCGCGAGUGGCGGAAUUGGCAGACGCGCAGGAUUUAGGUUCCUGUGCCUUCGGGUGUACGGGUUCAAGUCCCGUCUCGCGCA